AGUAAAUCGAAUUGUCAUUUCUAGAAAAGUUUCUGCACAAUAAAAGCAAUACUACGUACAAAAUAUUGAUCUUUAAAAAUAAAAAAUAUUAAUCUGAAAAUUCUGUAAAACUUGUAAGAGUUGGGUUCCUCGUCCACAAAUUGCAGCAUCAUGUAAAAAAUUACAGUUUCCUGUAAUAUAAGCAAAUCGAAUUGUCAUUUUUAGAAAAGUUUUUGCACGAUAAAAGCAAUACUACUUUUACAAUAUUGUUAAAAAUAAAAAAUGUUUAAUCGGAAAAUUCUGUAAGAUUUGUAAAAGUUUGGCCCUUCCACCACAGGUUGCAGCAUUAUGUAAAAAAAAAUACAGUUUCCUGUAAUGUAAGCAAAUCGAAUUGUCGUUUCUAGAAAAGUUUCUGAAAAUAACGUUUCAACUUUUUACGAUCAUAUCGUUCAAAUUUUGUAAUUAUAUCGAUAAAACAAAAUCUAAA